CAAUAACGUAUCUCCUUGUGACUCACAACAUCCUUCACAAGCAAUCUAACGAUAGCCCAGCAUGGAUACAGUCUUUACAUCCAACAUAUUAAUCUGAACAAA